rnacentral:rRNA from 1 species
GAUGAACGCUGGCGGCGUGCCUAAUACAUGCAAGUCGAGCGAACAGACGAGGAGCUUGCUCCUCUGACGUUAGCGGCGGACGGGUGAGUAACACGUGGAUAACCUACCUAUAAGACUGGGAUAACUUCGGGAAACCGGAGCUAAUACCGGAUAAUAUAUUGAACCGCAUGGUUCAAUAGUGAAAGACGGUUUUGCUGUCACUUAUAGAUGGAUCCGCGCCGCAUUAGCUAGUUGGUAAGGUAACGGCUUACCAAGGCAACGAUGCGUAGCCGACCUGAGAGGGUGAUCGGCCACACUGGAACUGAGACACGGUCCAGACUCCUACGGGAGGCAGCAGUAGGGAAUCUUCCGCAAUGGGCGAAAGCUUGACGGAGCAAUGCCGCGUGAGUGAUGAAGGUCUUCGGAUCGUAAAACUCUGUUAUUAGGGAAGAACAAAUGUGUAAGUAACUAUGCACGUCUUGACGGUACCUAAUCAGAAAGCCACGGCUAACUACGU